GCUCUCGGCGUGUCUUGACGCUGCUCUGAAGCGGUUUCUUCAGUCAGUCAGUCGGUCGAUCGGACUGACUUCAGACCUGUUUGGUGUCUUUGGUCCGUUUGAACUUCACACCGAAAGACAAACUAGUCCAGAAAGUCUUUGUCCGUCCUCCACCGUGUCAGCGGGACUUCUUGUGAUGUCCGGGUCGUUGUGUAAAACUUUGUACCCGUUCAGCGGGGAGCAGCACCAACAGGGACUGAGCUUCGAGGCGGGGGAGAUCCUCCAGGUGGUCCAGGCUGCUCCCGGAGGCUGGUGGGAGGGAGAGAAGGACGGAGCCCGGGGAUGGUUCCCCUCCAGCUACGUUCAGGUUCUGGAGAGAGCGGCAUCUUUGAGU